rnacentral:rRNA from 1 species
AGACCGGCGCACGGGUGAGUAACGCGUAUGCAACCUACCUUAUACAGGGGAAUAGCCCGAAGAAAUUCGGAUUAAUGCUCCAUGGUUUAUCGAUAUGGCAUCGUAUUGAUAAUAAAGAUUUAUCGGUAUAAGAUGGGCAUGCGUAUCAUUAGCUAGUUGGUGUGGUAACGGCAUACCAAGGCAACGAUGAUUAGGGGUCCUGAGAGGGAGAUCCCCCACACUGGUACUGAGACACGGACCAGACUCCUACGGGAGGCAGCAGUGAGGAAUAUUGGUCAAUGGAGGCAACUCUGAACCAGCCAUGCCGCGUGCAGGAUGACGGUCCUAUGGAUUGUAAACUGCUUUUGUACAGGAAGAAACCUCCCUACGAGUAGGGACUUGACGGUACUGUAAGAAUAAGGAUCGGCUAACUCCGUGCCAGCAGCCGCGGUAAUACGGAGGAUCCGAGCGUUAUCCGGAAUUAUUGGGUUUAAAGGGUUCGUAGGCGGCUUUGUAAGUCAGUGGUGAAAUUUCCUAGCUUAACUAGGACACUGCCAUUGAUACUGCAGAGCUUGAAUAGUAUGGAAGUAACUAGAAUAUGUAGUGUAGCGGUGAAAUGCUUAGAUAUUACAUGGAAUACCAAUUGCGAAGGCAGGUUACUACGUACUUAUUGACGCUGAUGAACGAAAGCGUGGGGAGCGAACAGGAUUAGAUACCCUGGUAGUCCACGCCGUAAACGAUGGAUACUAGCUGUUCGGUUUUCGGACUGAGUGGCUAAGCGAAAGUGAUAAGUAUCCCACCUGGGGAGUACGUUCGCAAGAAUGAAACUCAAAGGAAUUGACGGGGGCCCGCACAAGCGGUGGAGCAUGUGGUUUAAUUCGAUGAUACGCGAGGAACCUUACCAGGGCUUAAAUGUAGAUUGACAGAUUUGGAAACAGAUUUUUCUUCGGACAAUUUACAAGGUGCUGCAUGGUUGUCGUCAGCUCGUGCCGUGAGGUGUCAGGUUAAGUCCUAUAACGAGCGCAACCCCUAUUGUUAGUUACCAGCGCGUAGUGGCGGGGACUCUAGCAAGACUGCCGGUGCAAACCGUGAGGAAGGUGGGGAUGACGUCAAAUCAUCACGGCCCUUACGUCCUGGGCUACACACGUGCUACAAUGGCAAGUACAGAAAGCAGCUACCUGGCAACAGGAUGCGAAUCUCCAAAGCUUGUCUCAGUUCGGAUUGGAGUCUGCAACUCGACUCUAUGAAGCUGGAAUCGCUAGUAAUCGGAUAUCAGCCAUGAUCCGGUGAAUACGUUCCCGGGCCUUGUACACACCGCCCGUCAAGCCAUGGAAGCUGGGGGUACCUGAAGUCGGUGACC